AGUGAACGCUGGCGGUAGGCCUAACACAUGCAAGUCGAACGGCAGCACAGUAAGAGCUUGCUCUUACGGGUGGCGAGUGGCGGACGGGUGAGGAAUACAUCGGAAUCUACUUUUUCGUGGGGGAUAACGUAGGGAAACUUACGCUCAUACCGCAUACGACCUACGGGUGAAAGCAGGGGAUCUUCGGACCUUGCGCGAUUGAAUGAGCCGAUGUCGGAUUAGCUAGUUGGCGGGGUAAAGGCCCACCAAGGCGACGAUCCGUAGCUGGUCUGAGAGGAUGAUCAGCCACACUGGAACUGAGACACGGUCCAGACUACUAAGGGAGGCAGCAGUGGGGAAUAUUGGACAAUGGGCGCAAGUCUGAUCCAGCCAUACCGCGUGGGUGAAGAAGGCCUUCGGGUUGUAAAGCCCUUUUGUUGGGAAAGAAAAGCAGCAGGUUAAUACCCCGCUGUUCUGACGGUACCCAAAGAAUAAGCACCGGCUAACUUCGUG
rnacentral:rRNA from 1 species